AACGACCAUCUACCACAAUGGCGCCCAGAUUCUGUGAUUGUAUCCUGGACUGUGUGAGAGGUGUCUGCGCACCGUUCAGGUACAAGAAGAAGAAGCCUGGAAAGUUUGCCCAUAUGGAGACGGUCGUUUACGUGGCAAAGGACGAAUCCAUACUUUUCUCCCAACGGGGACUAGUUAUUAGGAUUCGUAGGUAAGUAG